rnacentral:rRNA from 1 species
AGAGUUUGAUCCUGGCUCAGGACGAACGCUGGCGGCGUGCUUAACACAUGCAAGUCGAGCGGAAAGGCCCUUCGGGGUACUCGAGCGGCGAACGGGUGAGUAACACGUGAGGAACCUGCCCCUAGCUCUGGGAUAGCUUCGGGAAACCGGAAUUAAUACCGGAUACGACCCUUACCGGCAUCGGGAAGGGUGGAAAGAUU